rnacentral:lncRNA from 1 species
GAAGUGUUUGGGCUCUCAACAGUGGAAGAGCAUGCCACCUCCUGCUUUGCUCCCUUCCUGGAGAACCUGGAAAUGGACCUGAUCAGCAGCUGCAACCUGAGAAAGUCUGGGAGUGACCAGGACAAUAAUAUAGACUGGUCUAGUGGCUUGGAGGAGUAAGUAAAAAAAAAAAAAAAUCAUACAAAAGUCUCAGUUCCCUUUGAAGGUCCUAGCAUUUUAAACUCCAAAGUGUAGAAUUUGGAAAUUUAGAUCCUUGGGUCCCUGGGAUCAACUCUGAAUCCCUGGGCAGAAGAAGGUGCAAACCUGGGCACCAUGCAAUGUGUGUUGAUCCCUAAACACAUCUGGAUGUACACAAGAUCCCUGUAUUGCCCUCAGUUGCCCGUGAGCAGUUGUUGGCCUAGAAUAUAAAAUCCUUUUGUUCC